AAUGAACGUUGGCGGCGUGGAUUAGGCAUGCAAGUCGCGCGAGAAAUUUUCUUCGGAGAAUGGAAAGCGGCGGAAGGGAGAGGAUAAGGUAGAAAUCUACCCUCGGGACGGGGAUAGCUGCGGGAAACUGCUGGUAAUACCCGAUAAUAUCUUUGGAUCAAAGGUGUGAUUCCGCCUGAGGAUGAGUCUACUUCCUAUUAGCUAGUUGGCAGGGUAAUGGCCUACCAAGGCAACGAUGGGUAGCGGGUGUGAGAGCAUGACCCGCCUCACUGGGACUGAGAACUGCCCAGACACCUACGGGUGGCUGCAGUCGAGAAUCUUCGGCAAUGGGCGCAAGCCUGACCGAGCGACGCCGCGUGCGGGAUGAAGGCCUUCGGGUUGUAAACCGCUGUCGUAGAGGAGCAAAUGCAUGGGGGUUCUCCCCUGUGCUUGAGUGAUUCUAGGAGGAAGGGGAGGCUAAGCUCGUGCCAGCCGCCGCGGUAA
rnacentral:rRNA from 1 species